UACGAAGGGGGCUAGCGUUGUUCGGAAUCACUGGGCGUAAAGCGCACGUAGGCGGAUCUUUAAGUCAGAGGUGAAAGCCUGGAGCUCAACUCCAGAACUGCCUUUGAUACUGGGGAUCUCGAGUCCGGGAGAGGUGAGUGGAACUGCGAGUGUAGAGGUGAAAUUCGUAGAUAUUCGCAAGAACACCAGUGGCGAAGGCGGCUCACUGGCCCGGUACUGACGCUGAGGUGCGAAAGCGUGGGGAGCAAACAGG
rnacentral:rRNA from 1 species